AACAAGGUUUCCGUAGGUGAACCUGCGGAAGGAUCAUUACCAAUUAGAUUCUUUGGAUUCAUUCAGUGGCUUCUUGUGGUGAGAACCAGUUUGAGGAGUAGUUGGUUGACCGUAAUCAGGAGAUAAAAAUCCUACCAGCUGUUGUUGAAUGGAUUCAAAGUUAAAUCGACCCCCUGUGAACUGUAAACCCGUACUGUUAUUUGUCUUUUGGGUGGUGUUGGAAGCUGUUUACAGUGGAUGGUACUGCCCAGCAGCGAUAACGCCUAUUUAACUACUAUAAAUUUAUAUUCAAAUAUGUAAAGUCUUUUUAUUAUUUAUAAUAUAUGAUAAAUGACAACUUUUAACAGUGGAUCUCUAGGCUCGUGGAUCGAUGAAGAGCGCAGCAAAAUGCGAUACGUAAUGUGAAUUGCAGAAUUCAGUGAAUCAUCGAAUCCUUGAACGCAAAUUGCGGUGUUGGGUAUUCCCGGCACCAUGCUUGGUUGAGUGUCACUUAAUCUAACGAUAAUGUAUUUUAUGGUUAUGGUUGGGGUUACGAGGCGUCUACUUGUAGAACCACGAAUCUUUAAUGACGAGCAAGACGCGUGACUUCUGAAGUCUAUUGCAGCUGCUUGUGUGGCAAUAUUUGUUUCGGCAAUUUUUAAACACAUGGUGGCUCAUGGACGUUAAUUCGGAUAUCGCGUGUGAUGUUAGAAAAUCAAUUACUACAAGUUUCCGGACUUAAAACUUUGACCUCAGCUCAAGCAAGACUACCCGCUGAAUUUAAGCAUAUCAAUA
rnacentral:rRNA from 1 species